rnacentral:rRNA from 1 species
AUGGCUUCCACGGUGACGCUGCUGAGGAAGACGGCCACCAUACGGAUGAGCGACGUCGCCGCCGUGGCGUCACCAGCGGCGAUGAAGUCGCUUUUGCUGGAGGGAAGCAAAGGCGGCGGCGGCGGCGACGUGGCGAAGCGAUGCUGCGGGCGCAAGUGCGAGCUCGUCGGCUACGACGCGCUCCCGGCCUUCCUGCAGCACAACGAGUUCAUCCUCCACUACUACCGCAGCGAGUGGCCCCUCAAGGAGGCGCUCCUCAGCGCCUUCGCCCUCCACAACGAGACCAUCAACGUUUGGACGCAUUUGAUCGGCUUCUUCGUGUUCCUCGCGCUCACCGUGUGCGCCGCCACGAUGGUCCCCAUGGAAACCAGAGCGACAUCCGCGGGCCUGGCGAACUGCACCGGCAACAGCAACCCUAGAGUGCUGAUGACCUCCUACGGCAGCAACGGAGCGGCCGUGGCAAUGCAGGCGCUGCUGCGCCGCAACGUGUCCGUCUCCGGCGAGACGGACCUCGCGGCAGCGGCGGCGUUGUCGCUGUUGUCAGGAGAACACGGCCCGGUCGAGCGGUGGCCGUUCUACACGUACCUGUGCGGCGCCAUGUUCUGCCUGCUGAUGAGCAGCGGGUGCCACCUGCUGGCGUGCCACUCGGAGCACGCCAGCUACGUGCUGCUCCGCCUCGACUACGCCGGCAUCACCGGCCUCAUCGUCACCUCCUUCUACCCGCUCGUCUACUACACCUUCCUCUGCGACCCCUUCUCCCGGACGCUCUACCUCGGCUCCAUCACCGUCUUCGGCGCCGCCGCGGUGGCCGUGUCGCUGCUGCCGGUCUUCGAGGCACCCGAGCUGAGGUGGGCGCGCGCCGCGCUGUUCGUGUGCAUGGGCGCGUCCGGCCUCGUGCCCAUCGUGCACAAGAUGCUCGUGUUCGGCGCACGGCCCGAGGCGGUGGUCACCACGGGAUACGAGGUGGCCAUGGGGGUGUUCUACCUGGCCGGCGUGCUGGUGUACGCCACGAGGGUGCCGGAGAGGUGGAUGCCGGGCAGGUUUGACCUCGUCGGGCACAGCCACCAGCUGUUCCACGCGCUUGUCAUCGCCGGCGCUUACGCGCACUACAAUGCCGGCCUGGUUUACUUGAGUUGGAGGGACAUGGACAAGUGCUGA